GUGAAAUCUCAAAAACACUUUUGGUGGGAAAAGGUUUUGCUAAUUUUCAAGCAUUUAUGGAGGCUGACAAACCUCACUGGCUGGACUUGCUGUUGCACAUCAGAUCCGCAGAUCCUUCAGCAGUCCUUCUGCCAGAUCCAGAAUAGAGUCGGUUCCCCGUGGCCUCGACUCUUUGUGUCUCCACACGCAGACAAUCUGCAACAUUGAGCACAGAGAGCCGGACAGGGAGAAUAAAAGUCUGCGUGAUCGUCUGGAAUGGCAGGAAUGUCACACAUCACCCUCGCAGCCGCGGCAACCGCCACGGUAGCCACACUCUCUUGACUUUAUGAUUUGUUGACAAGUGGAUUGUCAGAUUUGAAAGCACCAAGACGUCAUAAAGGUUUUUAGUUCAGAUCGUAAAAUAAAGGAUAAAAAAAACACCAAAGGAGAUGUGAGCAGACGUGAUUCCAAUCCACCACACUUUGAAUUGAUAAGAAUCUCACUUUUUUGGCUCCGUGUUCCAACCAAGGCGUACAGCUCUUGGAGAGGGGUCAGCAGACGAGGGUCAGAUGUCAGUCUGUUUAUCUAAUGAGAUAAAGACCGAUGGAGUUACAACCUCAGAGUGUGAUAAUCCGUGUGGUUAUGCCAUCAAAGAAAUGGGUUUUCUGUGCUUAGCGAUCGGCUAAAAAGGCAACCGAUGUGGAACCACAGCUGCUAGUGUUUAAAUCAUUUUUGGCUCAAGCUUUCUACCAUUUUGACUUUAUUCGUUGUAAACAAAAAUGGAUCUCACAUUUGGCUGAAACACAAAUCUGUUUAUUUAUUUUACGAAGUUUCUUUCUUUGAUAUGACCAAAGAGGCCACCCAACAUCUGAGCUGCAACGCUUGUGAUUUGUUAAUCUUGGAAACCUUCAGAGGAAAUGUAGUUUUUGUUUAUUUAUCGUUCUACCUCCCAUCUGAGAGGAGCCGCGUUGAGUUAAUGGGAUUUCAGGGACCGCUUUAAUAUUAGAGGUGUGGACAGAAGGGUCACAUCUCCUUGACAGAGUCAAAAGAAGCAAAGAUGGAAGAUAAAAAUUUGGACGGAAAGGACCCAAUUACAAAAGGAAGAAGUCUUUGGGGAAUGUGGAAAAAGAAUCAAGUGACAUGUAGUUAUUUCAGAGGAAGAAAGACAGACUGUGGCAGGAUAAAAAAAUGGAAACCAAGGCCGUAUUUUGACAUUUACUACCUAUACUGGACUGUGAAAAUGCUUUACACGUUCAAAUCUGCCUUUUUAUUUUAAGGUUUUCCUUGCUGUGUCGUUUUUUUUUUUUUUUUUUUUUUUACUUCAUACAAAUGUCCUUGUGUUUUUCACAUUAGUGGCUGGUUUUCAUUCCAUGAAAGCAUCAGUUGCCAUGGCAGAGGAAAAAACUGCAAUUGAGCAGAUUAAGUUUUUUUUUUUUUAAGUUUUGUCCCCAAGUUUUAUGAAACCUAGAAUUAUUGAAUGUUGCAGUUCCUCAAAAGACCACUGAAAGAGUGGUUUCAGCCAUUGACUGUAUAUGAGAACUGGACUGAGUGACUCCUCCCCCCUGGUUUUCCAAACAAAGUACCUGCUGGCUCCAAAAAGACAAAAUUCCAUAGACUUCUACUGAGAAAUAAACUGCUUUUAUUUCUUGAUUUACUAUCUUUUUUUUUUUUGCAUGUUCUUGCUAAUCCUAAUGUUUUUCAUAUCUUUUUAUAGUGUAAGAGUUCUGUAGUGUGGUUCAAGUUAUAAGCUGGCCAAUCAAAUGCCUCAAUAAAAGUAGCCAAUUUUAUGCCGAACAGAUUUAAUGUAGUCCACUUUCAGUUGUUUGGGUUGUGGACUUCCAACAAGCUCACUCCUGAUUGACGAGAGUGGUUACCAUAGAAAUGUUGAAUCAGAGGAAUUUCGACCAAUCAGUGCUCACUGACGUCAUCCGGCUCCAACUUGGUGUACGUAUUGCAAAAGAAGUGACAACUGAAUUGACAUUUCACUGCAGCUAUUUUCUUUGGAUGACAUCACAAUCGGUCCAGCUCUCGUCUACAGUCAAUGGUUUCAGCCAGGAGCAAUUUCUCGAUUACAUUUUUUAAACUGUUUUGAGACGCCUCAAUUUCUUUUUUUUUUUUUUUCUCAAAAAGAACAACAGUUUGCUUUCUAAUCCAG